AUGCAGAUUUUUGUAAAAUCCCUUGUGGGUAAGGGGUUCACUUUCAAGGUUGAACCCUUAGAUACAAUAGAAAAUGUAAAGGCCAAGAUCCAGGAUAGGGAAGGAAUUCCUCUUGAUCACUAAGACUCAUUCUCGCUGGCAAGCAAUUGGCUCAACAUUUAGAAGUCACUCUUCAUCUGGUGUUAAGUUUUCGUGGCAAUGCUAAGAGAAGGAAAAAGUAUUACACCAUUCCCAGAAAGAAUAAGCCUAAGACAAAGAAGGUUAAGCUGUCUGUCUUGAAAUACUAUAAGGGGGAUGACCAUGGCAAACUUACUCGCCUUCAUCAUUAAUGUCCUUCAGAUAAAUGUGGCGCUGGAGUUUUUAUGGCCAGCCUCUUUGAUAGACAUUAUUGUGGCAAAUGUUGUCUAACUUACUGCUUCAAUAAAACAGAAGACAAGUAAUUGUAUGAGUUAAUAAAAGACAUGAGCUAA